UACGGGGGGGGGUAAGCGUUGUUCGGAAUUACUGGGCGUAAAGGGCGCGUAGGCGGCCUUCUAAGUCGAACGUGAAAUCCCUGGGCUCAACCCAGGAACUGCGUCCGAUACUGGAAGGCUUGAAUCCGGGAGAGGGAUGCGGAAUUCCAGGUGUAGCGGUGAAAUGCGUAGAUAUCUGGAGGAACACCGGUGGCGAAGGCGGCAUCCUGGACCGGUAUUGACGCUGAGGCGCGAAAGCUAGGGGAGCAAACGGG
rnacentral:rRNA from 1 species